CGCUGGCGGCGUGCCUAAUACAUGCAAGUCGAGCGAAUGGAUUAAGAGCUUGCUCUUAUGAAGUUAGCGGCGGACGGGUGAGUAACACGUGGGUAACCUAGCCCAUAAGACUGGGAUAACUCCGGGAAACCGGGGCUAAUACCGGAUAACAUUUUGAACCGCAUGGUUCGAAAUUGAAAGGCGGCUUUCGGCUGUCACUUAUGGAUGGACCCGCGUCGCAUUAGCUAGUUGGUGAGGUAACGGCUCACCAAGGCAACGAUGCGUAGCCGACCUGAGAGGGUGAUCGGCCACACUGGGACUGAGACACGGCCCAGACUCCUACGGGAGGCAGCUAGUAGGGAAUCUUCCGCUAAUGGACGAAAGUCUGACGGAGCAACGCCGCGUGAGUGAUGAAGGCUUUCGGGUCGUAAAACUCUGUUGUUAGGGAAGAACAAGUGCUAGUUGAAUAAGCUGGCACCUUGACGGUACCUAACCAGAAAG
rnacentral:rRNA from 1 species